rnacentral:sRNA from 1 species
UCGCGGCGCGUGUCAAUCGGACGCGGCGGGGAUGACGAACACGGGGAUUUUUCCGAUUUCUUCCCGUGGCCAACGAAACGGCAGUCGAGUGUCCAACCCGUCCGCCCA